rnacentral:rRNA from 1 species
UACAGAGGUCCCAAGCGUUGUUCGGAUUCACUGGGCGUAAAGGGUGCGUAGGUGGCCAGGUAAGUUCGGUGUGAAAGCUCGGAGCUUAACUCCGAAAUGGCAUUGAAUACUAUCUGGCUAGAGGGUCGGAGGGGAGACUGGAAUUCUCGGUGUAGCAGUGAAAUGCGUAGAUAUCGGGAGGAACACCAGUGGCGAAGGCGGCUCUCUGGAACGGUACUGACGCUGAGACGCGAAAGCGUGGGGAGCGAACAGG